rnacentral:rRNA from 1 species
UAUUGCACAAUGGGCGAAAGCCUGAUGCAGCGACGCCGCGUGAAGGAUGAAGUAUUUCGGUAUGUAAACUUCUAUCAGCAGGGAAGAAAAUGACGGUACCUGACUAAGAAGCCCCGGCUAACUACGUGCCAGCAGCCGCGGUAAUAAGUAGGGGGCAAGCGUUAUCCGGAUUUACUGGGUGUAAAGGGAGCGUAGCCGGCGAUGCAAGCCAGAUGUGAAAGCCCGGGGCUCAACCCCGGGAAUGCAUUUGGAACUGUGUGGCUGGAGUGUCGGAGAGGCAAGUGGAAUUCCUAGUGUAGCGGUGAAAUGCGUAGAUAUUAGGAGGAACACCAGUGGCGAAGGCGGCCUGCUGGACGGUGUACUGACGCUGAGGCUCGAAAGCGUGGGGAGCAAACA